UACGUAGGUCCCGAGCGUUGUCCGGAUUUAUUGGGCGUAAAGCGAGCGCAGGUGGUUUAUUAAGUCUGGUGUAAAAGGCAGUGGCUCAACCAUUGUAUGCAUUGGAAACUGGUAGACUUGAGUGCAGGAGAGGAGAGUGGAAUUCCAUGUGUAGCGGUGAAAUGCGUAGAUAUAUGGAGGAACACCGGUGGCGAAAGCGGCUCUCUGGCCUGUAACUGACACUGAGGCGCGAAAGCGUGGGGAGCAAAUAGG
rnacentral:rRNA from 1 species